ensembl:lncRNA
AAGAUUUGUUGUUUAUAGGAGCGAUGAAUCUCCUUAUAAAAACUUUUUACUAUACGUAGAAGAAAUUAAGAACACUAAUGUUUUUUAUCCAAUUAAAUAUGUUUAUGUUAGCAUAAAAAAACUACCAAAUGAUUUUUAAAAUAAAUAUAUGAUAAUUUUUUAAAAUUGUGUUUAUGUAUUUAUAUGUUUAUGUAUGAAGAAAUGUAUUUAUAUAUGGAUAUAAUAAAUAUGUUGUCCAACUAUAUCGUAAUUUUUACUUUUUUAAGGACAUACCAUUAAAAUAUUAUGAAAAUUUAAUAGUUUAUAAAAAAAAAGAUAUAAAGAAUCAAAAUUUACAUACGUUUUGUGAAGAAAAAAAAUCAUUUUACGAAAAUAAAGACAAACAAAUAAAAUGCUUCUGUAGUUAUUGUCCUUCUUAUCCUAUUUUCCCAUUAUAUUCGCAUUUAAAAUAUAUAAAAGGAAAGCUUUUUUGCAACGAUAAAGGUAAAAUAAAAAAAAAAAAAAAAAAAAAACUUUACUUAUAAUUUUUCUAAAACGUGUUAAAAUUCUUUACGUUUUUAUUUUUAUAAAACUUAUUUUUAUCUAUUAUGAGACAAAAUGCUCAACUUGUUUGCUCAUUUUUUUGUUCAUUUUUUUACUCAUUUUUUUACUCAUUUUUUUACUCUUUUUUUUUUUUGUCCUACUUUUUAUUUAUAUUUCAUUUAUUUUUUACUAAAUACAGAAAAAGACGAAUUAAUACUGUAUUGCUUAGAAAAAACAGAUAAAACAUAUCAUGGGUUUCUUAUUGAAAAGAGCGAGAAUUUUUAUAAGCUAAACGUUACUUUACAACAGUUCGAUUUCAAUGAUGAGAGUCUUAUAGCUAGCAAUAACCAAUCAACAUUAGAACGAAGAUCAUACAUUUUAGACGAAUAUAAUUCAGAAAUUAAUGAUGAAGUGUUUAGAGUAAAGAUUAAAUUUAAUUUUGAAAAGACGAACAAGGGAGGUUCCAUCGAAGGAAAUUAUCUAUUUGUUGAUUCAGACACGUUUAAAGAAAAGGUAGAAUCUGAGGACUUGAUAAUAGAUGAAGACAUUUUAAAAGACUCUUUCAUAGUCGAUCCUACACAUGUUGAUAAAAUAAAACUACAAAAUGCAGAAACAACAACACUGACAGAACAAACCGAGUGUGAUAAAAUAAGAAGCUAUCCAUCGACAUAUGGAACCCCUAAUGGAUCAUGUAAUUAUAUGACAAAAAAAAAAUGUUUUAAUCAUAAAUACACACUUUCACCUUUUAUAAGAUUUGAAAAUAUAAUUAAUAACAGAGAGAAGAUUUUUGCUAAUUAUUUUUUUUUUUUUCUUAAAAAAAAAAAUAAUAUGGAUUUUGAAGAUAGUAUAUAUAAUUUUACUAAUAAAAACAAAAACAUUUUUUCAAAAUAUGAAAAAAUAAAAGAUGAAGAAGAGUUAGAUUAUUUAUUAAAAAAAAAAAAAGAAAAAAAAAAUGACAAUAUUGAACAUAAAUAUAUAAAUAAUAAUACAAGCUUAAUUACAGAUAUAGAAGAUAAAUAUUACAUAGCUUUAGGUAAAAAAAAAAAUAAUUUUCUUACUAUAACAUCAUAUAAUAAUGAACCAUUAAAAAUUAAAUAUAAUAAAGAAAAAACAGGAAUUUCUAUAUCGUUUAUUCAUAAAUUAAGUGAUUGUUCUGACUUUUAUAAUCAGUCAAGUAAAACAUGUACUAUUUAUUUAAGUAUUUGGAAUGAAGAUGAUAUAGAAAAGGAGUUAAAUAUUUUUCUAAAAUGUUCUAAACAAAUAGUUAAUAAUAUUGAAACAAUUAAAAAAAAUAUAAUUUUAUGUAAAAAUUGUGAACAAUCAACUAUUAUUAAAUUUGAACCUAUUGUGGAUUUACUUAUUACACCAUGUCAUAUACAAAUUUCUAAAAAUAAUACUAAUAACAUAAAUGAUAUACAAAAAAAAAAUUUACGUGAUAAAACAAUAUCAGAAGAAAAUGAACAUACACAAUAUUAUAAUUUUAGCAUAGGAGAUGAAAUUGAUAAAGUAAGUAAUACUUAUUUUGGAGAAGAUAUAAGUGAUUAUAAAAACGAAGGUGGUAUUUAUUAUGUAGGGGAUAGAAAUAGUGAUACAAUUUACAUGGAUAGAAAUAAGUUAGACAGUAAAGAUUAUAUUGAUUUAUCAAACAAUAACUAUAAUGAAUUUUAUUUAGAAGAAACAAACAUAUACAAUAUGUUAAGUGUUGAAGAAAACCAAGAAAUAAAUAAUGAACCAAAAAUUAAUUCAGCAUUUAUAACACCUUUAAAGUUUAACGCACCAAAACAUAUUUUAGAUUUACAUAUAAACAGGAUAGAAUUACUAUCAGAAAUAAAUAAUUAUGCAAUUGAUCCUAUACAAAUUGUUAACAUAGACAAUAAUGAUAACAUAAAACAAAAUAUAGCUAUAAUGUUUUUAAUAUGGUUAAAAGAAAAUUAUAUACAUUCUUUAAUUUUUUUUUUUUUUUUUUUUUUUUUUUUUAUAGUACCUAGUUUAAACAUAGUAAAAAAAAAAAUGGGUCAUAAAACUUGGUUUUAUAAAUUAAUUAAAAUUCGUUUACUUAUUUUAUGGUCUUUGCAAGAUCUUUUUAUUGCUUUAAAAAAAAUACCUUAUAAAUUGUAUAGAAUUACUAAAAAGAUAAUAAAAUAUAUUUUUCGUUUUUUUUAUAAAGCUUUCUUAAUUUUGUUUCAAAGUAAAGACCAAUUAAUUGAUCAAAUGCAUAAAGAAAAUGAAGCACAAAGAAGAUUAUAUGAAAAAAAAAAAAAAAAAAAAAAUUGUUAUAUGCAAAAAAACAAAAAAAGAAAAAAGCACUAUUGCAAAAUAGAAAAAAAAUAUUAUUAAAAUAUGAAAGAAAUUUUAAAAGGAAUAGGGGUGAGUAUGUGAGUAGGGAGUUUAGUGGAACAGAAACUUCAACAUAUAGUGAAAUAUCCAAUAUAACUGAUGAUGGAAACAUACUUGACGAAGCCUCUGACACGUCCACUACAAAUAAUCCUAAUACAAAACGUAAUACAAACAAUCGUAGUACACAGGAAAUACCAAUUAAAAAAAAAAAUGAAGAAAAUAAGGAUAUAAAUCAACAGAUAAGUGAAAUAAGUAUGGCAUAAAAAUAGGGGGA